rnacentral:rRNA from 1 species
UACGUAGGGUGCAAGCGUUAAUCGGAAUUACUGGGCGUAAAGCGUGCGCAGGCGGUUUUGUAAGACUGUCGUGAAAUCCCCGGGCUCAACCUGGGAAUGGCGAUGGUGACUGCAAGGCUAGAGUUUGGCAGAGGGGGUAGAAUUCCACGUGUAGCAGUGAAAUGCGUAGAUAUGUGGAGGAACACCGAUGGCGAAGGCAGCCCCCUGGGUCAAAACUGACGCUCAUGCACGAAAGCGUGGGAGCAAACAGG